AGUCAACAUGCCCAGGGGACGUGGAUAACCUCGGGAAACUGAGGAUAAACCGCGAUAGGCCAUGAUUUCUGGAAUGGUUCAUGGCCGAAAUCUAUAUGGCCCCUGGAUUGGACUGCGGCCGAUCAGGCUGUUGGUGAGGUAAUGGCCCACCAAACCUGUAACCGGUACGGGCUCUGAGAGGAGGAGCCCGGAGAUGGGCACUGAGACAAGGGCCCAGGCCCUAUGGGGCGCAGCAGGCGCGAAAUCUCUGCAAUAGGCGAAAGCUUGACAGGGUUACUCUGAGUGGUUCCCGUUAAGGGGAUCUUUUGGCACCUUUAAAAAUGGUGCAGAAUAAGGGGUGGGCAAGUCUGGUGUCAGCCGCCGCGGUAAUACCAGCACCCCGAGUGGUCGGGACGAUUAUUGGGCCUAAAGCAUCCGUAGCCGGUACUGCAAGUCUUCCGUUAAAUCCACCUGCUUAACAGUUGGGCUGCGGGGGAUACUACAGCGCUAGGAGGCGGGAGAGGCAAGCGGUACUCAAUGGGUAGGGGUAAAAUCCGCUGAUCCAUUGAAGACCACCAGUGGCGAAGGCGGCUUGCCAGAACGCGCUCGACGGUGAGGGAUGAAAGCUGGGGGAGCAAACCGGAUUAGAUACCCGGGUAGUCCCAGCUGUAAACGAUGCAGACUCGGUGAUGGGCUGGCCUUGUGCCAGCCCAGUGCCGCAGGGAAGCCGUUAAGUCUGCCGCCUGGGGAGUACGGUCGCAAGACUGAAACUUAA
rnacentral:rRNA from 1 species